rnacentral:rRNA from 1 species
GAUGAACGCUGGCGGCGUGCCUAAUACAUGCAAGUCGAGCGAACGGACGAGAAGCUUGCUUCUCUGAUGUUAGCGGCGGACGGGUGAGUAACACGUGGAUAACCUACCUAUAAGACUGGGAUAACUUCGGGAAACCGUAGCUAAUACCGGAUAAUAUUUUGAACCGCAUGGUUCAAAAGUGAAAGACGGUCUUGCUGUCACUUAUAGAUGGAUCCGCGCUGCAUUAGCUAGUUGGUAAGGUAACGGCUUACCAAGGCAACGAUGCAUAGCCGACCUGAGAGGGGGAGCGGACACAAGGGAAGAGAGACACGGUACAGACACCGACGGGAGGCAGCAGUAGGGAAUAUGGAGCAAUGGGCGAAAGAUUGACGGAGCAACGCCGAGGGAGUGAUGAUGGGCGUAGGAUAGUAAAACUCUGUUAUUAGGGAAGAACAAAUGUGGAAGUAACUACGAACGGCGUGACGGUACCUAAUCAGAAAGCAAAGGCUAACUACGGG